UACGGGGGGGGCAAGCGUUGUUCGGAAUUACUGGGCGUAAAGGGCUCGUAGGCGGCCAACUAAGUCAUACGUAAAAUCCCUCGGCUUAACCGGGGAACUGCGUCUGAUACUGGAUGGCUUGAGUUCGGGAGAGGGAUGCGGAAUUCCAGGUGUAGCGGUGAAAUGCGUAGAUAUCUGGAGGAACACCGGUGGCGAAGGCGGCAUCCUGGACCGAUACUGACGCUGAGGAGCGAAAGCCAGGGGAGCAAACAGG
rnacentral:rRNA from 1 species